CCUACGGGUGGCUGCAGUGAGGAAUAUUGGUCAAUGGGCGCGAGCCUGAACCAGCCAAGUAGCGUGAAGGAUGACUGCCCUACGGGUUGUAAACUCUUUUUAUAAAGGAAUAAAGUGAGGCACGUGUGCCUUUUUGUAUGUACUUUAUCAUUAAGGAUCGGCCAAUUCAGCGCCAGCAGCCGGGGUAAUACGGAGGAUCCGAGCGUUAUCCGGAUUUAUUGGGUUUAAAGGGAGCGUAGAUGGGUUGUUAAGUCAGUUGUGAAAGUUUGCGGCUCAACGGUAAAAUGGCAAUUGAUACUGGAAGCCUUGAGUACGGUAGAGGUAGGCGGAAUUCGUGGUGUAGCGGUAAAAUGCUUAGAUA
rnacentral:rRNA from 1 species